CAGUUGAGUAGCCUUGAUCUUGAUAGUAUGACGUAAUGAGUUGCAGGAGCGUAUACAUGCUUCCUCUGAGCUAGCUUAAAGUGGGGUUGUCAUUUUAGCAGGGACCUCAGGAAAACUGGAACAGUGAAGAAACGGUGUGUGGUUACAGACUUUUGUGUGAGGUUUUGAAAGUUAGGUAGGCGACUCUAGGCUGAGGAGCUCAGAAAACUGUUUACUGCCUCCUUAAGAGCAAAUCUUGAAAAUUUGUGUGUGGUUACAGACUUUUGUGUGAGGUUUUGAAAGUUAG